GACAGAGGGUGCAAACGUUGUUCGGAAUUACUGGGCGUAAAGCGUGUGUAGGCUGCUACAUAAGUCGGAUGUGAAAGCCCCGGGCUCAACCCGGGAAGUGCACUCGAUACUGCGUAGCUUGAGUACGAGAGAGGUGAGUGGAAUUCCCAGUGUAGAGGUGAAAUUCGUAGAUAUUGGGAAGAACACCGGUGGCGAAGGCGGCUCACUGGCUCGUAACUGACGCUCAUGCACGACAGCGUGGGGAUCAAACAGG
rnacentral:rRNA from 1 species